GAUGAACGCUGGCGGCGUGCCUAAUACAUGCAAGUCGAGCGAACAGAUGAGGAGCUUGCUCCUCUGACGUUAGCGGCGGACGGGUGAGUAACACGUGGAUAACCUACCUAUAAGACUGGGAUAACUUCGGGAAACCGGAGCUAAUACCGGAUAAUAUAUUGAACCGCAUGGUUCAAUAGUGAAAGACGGUUUUGCUGUCACUUAUAGAUGGAUCCGCGCCGCAUUAGCUAGUUGGUAAGGUAACGGCUUACCAAGGCAACGAUGCGUAGCCGACCUGAGAGGGUGAUCGGCCACACUGGAACUGAGACACGGUCCAGACUCCUACGGAAGGCAGCAGUAGGGAAUCUUCCGCAAUGGGCGAAAGCUUGACGGAGCAACGCCGCGUGAGUGAUGAAGGUCUUCGGAUCGUAAAACUCUGUUAUUAGGGAAGAACAAAUGUGUAGGUAACUAUGCACGUCUUGACGGUACCUAAUCAGAAAGCCACGGCUAACUACGUG
rnacentral:rRNA from 1 species